GAAUGCUUGGCUUUGUUUUGUAUAUAUAAAAAAGUUUGUGUGUCUGGCCUUUUUCCCAAGUUAUUUUUGCUCCAUCUGUUUGAGCCUAGAUUAUAAUGUCCCCCACAUGAAUACACACCAAAAACCUUUACAGAGGUAUGCAUCUACAAGUUUCACUAUUACAAGAGGAGUUUGUCUGUUGAAAUUGAGUCCAGGAAUACUAUACAAGCAACAAGCAGUAUUUCAGCUAUCCACAGAUGACUGAAACAGAGGUUAUGAAUUGAUCAAUAACAGAAAGAAAAAAAAGGGAAGAAAACCUAACCAGACAAGGCCAACCACUUGGUAGUAGAUGCGUCUUUGAGAAA
rnacentral:lncRNA from 1 species